CCUACGGGAGGCAGCAGUGAGGAAUAUUGGUCAAUGGACGAGAGUCUGAACCAGCCAAGUAGCGUGAAGGAUGACUGCCCUAUGGGUUGUAAACUUCUUUUAUAUGGGAAUAAAAUGUUCCACGUGUGGGAUUUUGUAUGUACCAUAUGAAUAAGGAUCGGCUAACUCCGUGCCAGCAGCCGCGGUAAUACGGAGGAUCCGAGCGUUAUCCGGAUUUAUUGGGUUUAAAGGGAGCGUAGGUGGAUUGUUAAGUCAGUUGUGAAAGUGUGCGGCUCAACCGUAAAAUUGCAGUUGAAACUGGCAGUCUUGAGUACAGUAGAGGUGGGCGGAAUUCGUGGUGUAGCGGUGAAAUGCUUAGAUAUCACGAAGAACUCCGAUUGCGAAGGCAGUUCACUGGACUGCAACUGACACUGAGGCUCGAAAGUGUGGGUAUCAAACAGGAUUAGAUACCCGUGUAGUC
rnacentral:rRNA from 1 species